rnacentral:lncRNA from 1 species
CAACGGAAGGGGACUCUUCUUUCUCCAGUGACAGGGAAACCUCUUUCACUCUUUGCAGAGAGGCAUUCCACUGCAGAAAUGAGGACGGCCAUCUUCCUCGCACUCGUCUCAUGGGCGGUCGCUGGGAGAAUGCACCAUGCGGAAGAGGGAGGCUCGUUCAGGUUCUCUGGAGCGCAGGGAUCCACUUCGACUGCCACGCGUAUUGUCUGGACACGCAACGGCCAGGUCUGUGUAGAGUAUCGUCCAGGGGAGCGAGUGGGGGCGUCCCCCUGCGACCCUCGUGUCUCCAGCUUCAGUCCUGCUGACUUCUCCUUCACUCUGACGGCCCUGACCACAGGCGACAGCGGCACCUACUGCCUGCGUCUCGGCUCCCAGCACGCACUGUGCCAGAACCUCACAGUUCACGGUAAGCUCCGUCCUCUGACCACAGCAUCUCUGCAUGUCCAGAAGACCUGUUUUAGGGAUUGAUGUGAAG